rnacentral:lncRNA from 1 species
AAGGAGAAACAAAAACAAAAACAAAAACAAAAGAGCAUUAGUAACUCCAGCAGAAAUAGCGUAAAUAAUUCUAAACAUAAGAAACAUAAAUAAAAUAGCAUGCAAUAAUAUCAUACAGUAACUACCAUAAAUAACAACCAUAAGGGAGACACAAGCCAAACACAAAUCAUCUAUGGAUAGCCCUGCCAAGCCUCACCCAACCCCGGGUGAGGAGUACGAAAAACUCUAGGAGCNN